UACAGAGGGUGCGAGCGUUAAUCGGAAUUACUGGGCGUAAAGCGCGUGUAGGCGGCUUUGCAAGUCGGGUGUGAAAUCCCCAGGCUUAACCUGGGAACUGCAUUCGAGACUGCAUUGCUAGAGUAUGGGAGAGGGAAGUGGAAUUUCCGGUGUAGCGGUGAAAUGCGUAGAUAUCGGAAGGAACAUCAGUGGCGAAAGCGACUUCCUGGACCAAUACUGACGCUCAUGUGCGAAAGCGUGGGGAGCAAACAGG
rnacentral:rRNA from 1 species